UGGUCUGAGAGGAUGACCAGCCACACUGGAACUGAGACACGGUCCAGACUCCUACGGGAGGCAGCAGUGGGGAAUAUUGCACAAUGGGCGCAAGCCUGAUGCAGCCAUGCCGCGUGUGUGAAGAAGGCCUUCGGGUUGUAAAGCACUUUCAGCGAGGAGGAAGGUGGUGAGCUUAAUACGUUCAUCAAUUGACGUUACUCGCAGAAGAAGCACCGGCUAACUCCGUGCCAGCAGCCGCGGUAAUACGGAGGGUGCAAGCGUUAAUCGGAAUUACUGGGCGUAAAGCGCACGCAGGCGGUUUGUUAAGUCAGAUGUGAAAUCCCCGGGCUCAACCUGGGAAC
rnacentral:rRNA from 1 species